GAAAUGCGAUACGCAAUGCGAAUUGCAGAACGCGAGUCAUCAGAUCUUUGAACGCAAGUGGCGCCGGUUUACAGCCGGCAUGUGGUGCUCAGUGUGUUUCGGAAAUCAUAUACGCGGAAUGUGGUUGAAGGCGGCGUGCUCGCACGCGGCUUUCUCCCAUUAAACUCGCGCUGGACCGGCGGGCGGACCUCCCUCCAAAACCGUCUCUCGGCACCGGCUCCCUGCCCGGAAGUAGUCACUAGCACUCUAGUGAUCUACGGGCUUGGGGAGAUACAAACUGGUGCUCCGAGUAGGCUUGGGAGUCAGCUCGCUUACGUGUCCUCGGGUAAUCUAAUUACCGAAAAAAACAUUCCCAUCCUACACCUGAGCUCCGCAAGAUCACCCGCUGAACUUAA
rnacentral:misc_RNA from 1 species